rnacentral:rRNA from 1 species
DGUGGUUAUUACAGCAAAGAGGAUACACCUGUUCCCAUUCCGAACACAGAAGUUAAGCUCUUUAGCGCCGAUGGUACUUGGUGGGAAGCUGCCUGGGAGAGUAGGACGUAGCCGCGU